GGAAAAACUUGAUUUGCGUGUUGUGCCUGCAACUUUUUUUUCCCCUUUCUUCUUCUCCACACCGCCCUCUGUACACCUGACCGUGCACAAGCCUAUCUGGUGCCGGCUCCAUGGCAGGGAGAACUGGAGAGCGGAAGAAUGUGCCCAGGGAGGGAGCGCUCGGUACUUUUCCAUUCACAUCUCCACAGUGGCUUUUCUUGUUUAUUUCAACCUCCACCCGCAGAAACCUUUCAGCUGCCUGAAAUUCGAGUCAUUAAACAGCUCCCUGAGGUCACUCUACAGAGGCCCAGUGCAUGUUUCCUACAUGUCAGGGUCCAUGUAACUUGUGUGCAUAUAGGGACACAAUCCUAGUUGUAAGGGAGCGCGGUGUGAGGGAGGAGAAGAGGGAGGAAAAAAAAAAAAAAACUGCACUCCUUGCCAGAAAACCCUUGGUUUCUAAUUACAGCUCUGCCUGGAACUUUUUAUGGGACGCAGAGCAAAGUUGCUUGGGAGGACUCAGUUUCCUCCGCUGUGUGAAGCAUGACCUAGAUGAGUGUGUUUCUGCUCUGAGCUCUCCAGCUGGACAUCCAGACACAUAUUUACAUAAUUUAGGGUGGGGAGGAGGAGCUCUGUGUAUCUGUGUCCAGGGGGUGGGGCAAGGGGUUAAAAUACAAACUUCUAAGAAAGCAGUCCUAGAAUCCAAACCUCUAUCAAUUUUUAACCAAUUAGAGACCAAAGUCUGGGAUUAUGCUGAGUCCAAAACCGAUUAAAGAUUUUAAACGUUAAGAGUUAAAGGAGGCAGGUUUUUAAGACCUUGUACCUUUGAUCACUACCAUUCAUAAUCAGAAGUGACACAUCCCAGGUGCUUUUUCUGCCUGAUAGUUCUUUUUCUUCUCUCUCUGUCUCUUUUUGUUUUUGGAAACUGUCCCAGUCAGGGAUAGAAAGGAGAUGAUAUUUGUUAAGUGGGUAGUCUUUAAAUUACUAGCUCCAUGUGGACAUGGAAAAUACUUCCUAACAUUCUGAACAAGAGAUGGAAAAGGGAAGAGAAGCAGAGAGAUUCUGGGUAAGAAAUAUAGCACUGGCGCAAGCAUCACCGCACACAAAACAAUUAUUUAAAGUCAGAGGAAAAAACAGAUGGUAGUUUGCCCUAAAAAUAUAAAGAAGAGAAAGAAAAGAGAAGCACUUUUGAUUUACCAGGCCAAACUUGAAAGCAAUAAAAUAAUACUUUCUAUCAAUAUUUUCUAUAUGUUUUCAGUUUCUAUUCUUUAAAAAGAAAGAUCCUGAUUUUUUCAGAUCUGAUUGUUGAUGAGGUUAAGAGAUUCCAUCAGCCUCAGGAAAUAACAAGUAACUCCUGUUUAUUAGCAGUGAUCUCCCUCCACUUAGACUGCCUGGGAUAUUGUACCUAUGUGUAAGCAGGGGUAAACUUGCCACAAUGCCACAGUGGAAAGCCACCAGCAGGGUAGAUCUGGGAGGGUCCUUAGCCUUAUGUAAUCCAAUAUUACUGAUCUUAUAGCUUUGGAAAUUGAGGCUCAGACAGAAUGCAUUUGCUACACAGGCUGUCACAGAGCCGAAUUUGAUGUUGGUAUUCUAAAUCCACUAUGCUUUUUACGUGGUAUAUUAUGGAAAGAGAGUUAUCAUGGGCAGUCUCACAAAAGAGUCAUUUUCUGGGACAUCACAUUGGAAAAGGCCGCACAUUUAUACUUUUGACUAUCUCCACUGGGUCUGCACAUCAUGUUGAGUGGUAUAGGAACAAGACUGAAAGAAGACCAUCACAUAUAAGAGCUACUUAUGGGUCCCAGUGCAGGACUAUAGUGUCUUAUGGUACUGUGAUUUAUUACUGUUCAUAAGUCUACAUUGGUCUGGUGAAUAGUACAAUUGUAUUGUUCUUAUGAGUAUGCUAGUGUUAAAAGUGUAAGGUUUGAAAUGCACUUGGUUUAGAAGCAAUGACAAGCAGUUGGCAUGCCUAAUUAAUGUUCAGAUCUGGGUGUCUGAUGCCAUUCCCUGGUAACAGGAAACAAGGGUUCCUGGGGGAAAUGGGGCUCAGUAGACUGGGGCAGAAAGUAUACAAAAAUGCGACAGAAAUGUCAUAUAGUACCAUACAGAAGGGAAUUAUUUAAAUCAAAAUGAUAUCAUAGGAGAUAUUUCAAGGCAAUAGGAGAGCCCCUUGAAGCGCUCCUAGUUGUCAAGGUUGAAAUAACUGAACAACAAAAUAGAAUAUAUUUUGGAUUAUAACCCAAAUUACAAAAUAACUACUCACAAGUCCACAGUGAUAUAAAUACAGCAUGGAAUGAAUUAAUAAAUAGGCAAGAAGAGUCCAAUAUCCCAUACAAAAGAAUGCCAAGUAGUUUAUAUAGAUAUGCUGUCCUCUAAGAAGGGAAGCAUAAAUUGCUAGUCUCUUCUACAGACUGGGUAUGGUAACAUCUUUCCAAGUAGUUCAUUAUAGAAAAGGAAUGAGGGCAGAGUAACUUACCAAAGCAAAAUCUCACAACCCCCAUCUCAGCCAGCCAAUCAAAGUGAAUAGGGACAAAUCAUGUGGAUGGUAUAUCCUAUUGACAGUCUUCUUCUAAGAAUACUUAACCUAAGCAUGAGAGAAACAUCAGACAAAUAGUCGUAAAGAGGCAUCCUACAAAUACUUGACUAACAGUUCUGAAAACCAUCAAGGACAUCAAGACAAGGAAAAUCUGAAGAUCUACCAUAGCCAACAGUAGCCAAAGGAGACACAACAGUGUAAUGUAGUGUCCUGGAUGGGGUCACAGAAUGCAAAGAGACAUAAGAUAAGCCUUGACACAACUGAAUCAGUGAUGGACUUCAGUUAACCAUGUGUCAGAAUGAUUUCACUGUUUAAAAUGCACUAAUUUAAGGUAUUAAUGAAGCGGAAACUGGCUGUGGUGUUCGCUCUACCAUUUUAUCAGUUUUCUGUUGAGCUAAAACUGUUUUUAAAGUGAAGUCUUCAAGUUGGAAAAAUAUACCCAUGUGAUGUUUGGGAUUAUUUUUUUCAAUAGCAGAAACUUCCUAAAACCUCUGAAAAUCCUGCUUCCCACUCAAUCAUUUUCCUUGCAUAGAGUCAGGGAAUCAGGGGGCCUCGCUCUUUCUUUUAGUUUACUAAAUUGAAAGCAAUUGCAUCUCUGAAUGCCACCAUCUGUAUAAUGAACCAUCAGGAAAUCACUGGGGAGCUGCCAAAGGCCAGUGAAGUGUCAUUAUGGGAGUAGGUGACUCAAGCCACUUCAUCAAUCCCUGCAAUCAACAUUUCUCUGUGGAAACUUCUGGAGGAAUCAAGACCCGCAAAGAUCUUGCCAUCAGUCCACAUGCCACAUGGGAAUUCACUGCUGAGGUUACAGGAGACCCAAGUGCCCCCUCUAGAUUACUUGCUAGUUCAUUGCCUGACUCCAGUAGAGCUGGGGUCUCAUCAGAAUUGUAACUCAAGAUGUCUAGAGAAGAAGCAUGGAUCAGACCCCAUCGCUCUAUAAGUUUGUCUUCCUUAUUUACAUAAAACCUCAAAGUCUAAAUCUUGAAAGCCUCGAUUCUCAUCUUUCAACUCACUGGUUCUACCAUUGAGAAUGGUCCAGAGAGAGAAGUGACUGAUAAAGACAACUUGACAGAUUCAUGAUGGGCUUGUUUCCCAUCAAGUCCAUCUUGAAUCCCUUAUUUUUCUGCAGUGUCUAUUUUUAGUACAACAGAGAACUGCUGCUACAUUGACAUACAUUAUAGUUUCAAAAAUACUUUACCAGUUUCUAACAUGUGUCAGUUACCAAUGGCUUUUAGCUCUAAUGCUGAACCUGAGUUUUAAGUACCUUUUGCCCUGUUCUCUUCACCUUGCCCACCCCUACCAGCCUCUCUGCCAAGUUUAUAAGAACUUUGAACCAUCACUUGUAUUGGUGAAAGGGAGCGAGAGGGAGUCCUGCUAGUAUGUCAAUUCACAUGACUUUUUCAGAGCUCUACUUGGCCGCCUUGUAUCAAGGAUCAUAAAUGUAGCCCUGCUCUUUGGCCCAGUAAUUCCACUUAUGGGAAUGUAUCUUCAAAGCAUGAUUCCACAUUGCAGGGGAAAAGGUAUGCAUCCUAGCAUUCUAUUUAAUAAAAUAUUUGAACGUGCAUGUCUCAUUAUGACUAGAUUGGGAGAAGAGGUAUCAGUAGAUAAAUGAUUAAACAAAUUACAAUAAAAUUAAUUCUGAAAAAAUAUAAUAAAAAUAUGUAUGACCUAUAAAGUAAAGAGAAAUAGGGUGUAUAUAUAUAUAUAUAUACAUACAUACAUACAUACACCAUAUAUGUGUGUAUAGUAUAUUCACAACUAUGUUUUAAAAUGCUCUUCCUAGAAAAUAGGCUAGAUAUAAUAAGAAUGAAUAAUGAACAAAAAUAUUUACAGUGACUAUCUUAGGGUAGUAAGAUUGGAGACACUUAUCUCCUUUAUUUUUAUAUCUGCCAAAAUGUUUAAUAACUAUCUAUCAUCUAUCUCUCACACACUUAAAACAUGAAAACCCCUAACUGAUGUCUUUUAAAUGUAGAUAAUUAUUCACAGUUAUGAAUAUUUGACUUAAAAUUGGAGCCACCCACAACUGUAGGGUCCACAGCAAAAAUGAGAGCCGCCCACAUAUUCACGAAGAGACUCUUGCUCUGGAUGACACGCAUCUCUACAACAAGAAAAGAGACAACAAAAUGUGACCCUUUCUGUGUGCACUGACAAUAACAAAAUGAAGUAGAUUCUGUAACCCUUUGAUCUGUCUCUCCCCCCCCCCUACGUAGUAGUGUGAUUAUCUUGAUUUUUUUCAUGCUCCAUGGCAUUUAGAAAUGUCGAAGGGUUUCCUGGUUACUGUGCUCUCUAUGUGAGGCCACUCAUAUGCUCUCCUGGUAGACAGACCUUCCUUGGAGUAGUCUUGGGUCAACAAGUCAUUUAUUUAUUUUUUUAAUAUUAUAACAAUUUGUCAUGUGGAUGCUGAGGAAAAAAAUUAAAAACAAGAAUCUCAGGGAUUUAUCAUCAGAGAAUCACCAAGGUGUUAAAAAAUUUGAGAGAUACUGUUUUAUUUAGGCUGCUGGCUCUUAAACAAGGGCAUGAGUGUAGACAUCAGAAUUCAGAGGUGAAGAAAGAAAUGCAAGUAGUCCCUUAAACCACUGAUAGAAUUCCUCGUUCUCAUCUCCGUCUGUGCACAUGUGUACUUCCUUGUUCAAACACACAACUGAAUUUGUAGGGCAGACACUGUGCUAGAUGCUAGGGCAACAAAUAUGACUAAACAUGGGACCCUGAGCCCCAAUGGAUGCAACAUCUACUGAGGAAAUAAAGAUCCAAAAAGCUUAGGAAAUUUGCUUUAAGUUACACAAAAAUCAUGCAGGAGCCAGGAUUACCUGCCUGCCAAAUGUCCUGAUUCUGAGCCCAGUAAAACUCCACAGCUUCUUUGCAGAAGCUAUUCCCUGAGCCCAGAAGCAUUGAGUCCUUCCCAGAGCAGGUUCAACCUCUUUUAAGUGAUCCAGUAUUGAUUAGAAUGAAGUGUAACCCAGCCACCUCAAUGUAUCAUCCAGGAAAAACCAAUACCCAGUGUGGGAAGAUUCGCAAAGACUGAUGCAUAUACAAACUCAGCUUUCUACACCAUCACUGCUAUGUUAGCUCAGCAUUCAGGUGAGAGGUUCACAGCUAAGAAUGAACACAGGUUUGGGCUCCAAGCCUACAUUCUCAUAUAACUCUUGACAGCCAAUCCUCUUCUUAGGGAACCUGGGCCCAAUUUUUAAACCUUUUUGGAUCCAGUAUCUGAUAGGCAUUGCUAUAGCUAGGCAUUGCUAUAGACCUCCCCGUGUUGUACUGCUCCAAAAUAGAUAACCUCAAGGGACAUCCAGAGUGUUGGCUCCAAAACCCAAUACCAUCUCUAGCAGGAGCUGGGCACUGGUAGAUCUUGGUGCUUAUUCAACCAAGGCCACAUUCACACCAGACCUUUGGGUCAUCAACCCCUAGGUGGUAUCUUCAGGUUCCAGCCCUGCGUCCAGAUGAAUUUCUAUAACAUCCUAGACAACAAGAUCCAGCCUGCCUCAGGGGUGGACACAUCUGCCAGGAGUUGGUCAGACAAGGACACACUGAAUAUUCUGUUAGUCAGCUUUUCGUUCCUAUAAAAAUACCUGCAAUAACCAAUGUAUGUAUAAAGAAAGCUUUGUUCUGGCUCACAGUUGUAGAGAUUGCAGCCAUCCUUGAUUGGCUCUGUUGCUUUGGACCUACAGUGAGCCAGCACAUCCUGGCAGCAGACAUGUAGAAGCAAAAAAAAAAAAAAAAAAAAAAAUUAUAUCAUAGCUCAGAAGCCAAAAGAGACAGGAAGAAGAAGGGGCUGCAGUCCCCUAGCUUCUCUGAGGGCACACCCUCAAGGCCUCUAGUAACAUCUACCUCUUGGCGUUUCCACCACUUUCCAAUAGUGGCAAGCCAGAGCCUGAGCCACACACAGUUUGAGGGACACUGUAGAUUCAAACUGUCAGGUAUGAUGACACCUGCAUAAUGCUGCCAGACAAAAUUUAGCCAUACCAGAAUUACUUGAAAGUUCAGUAGCUUUUAGGGUCUAAAUAUGAAAUCAUUAAGACUAACCUUGCCUUUUUGGAGGCAGCGACACUAAAAAUGCUUAAAAGAAAAUUGGACAGAAAAGGAUUAAUAGUGAUGUUAAUAAAGGUCAUAAAAAGACUUGAUGACAUGGUUGUGAUAGAUAAAUGGAAUGUGGCGAGACCUCAGUGCCUACCAGAGUCAUCCCCUGCCCCAGUUCUCCACACCAGAUUCUGAAGCAUUCCCCAAGGCCUCGUGCACUUUCCUCUACUCCACACGCAUGCCUGAUUUCUGCCUGUCCCUGAUAAGCUAUAUGCUCAAGGGUAGAGGUGCAUCAUCUUUGUUUUCUUAAAACUGUGUCCAGCACAUGAUGUUCAUUUAGAAAAUGUUGACUGGGUGAAAGUCGGUAGCACAGCAACAAAAAAAUUUGAUGUGAAAUCUGAGGAUCUGGGUUCCAGUUAAAGUUCCACAACUGACUAAAUUCUGUGGGUCUCAGUUUCUUGUUCUCUAAAAUGGUAAUUUCUGUUAAGGGAGUACAUUAAAAGAUUCCCAUGAGAGUUUAGUGCAAUGGAGGGAAGGGUGCUUUGAAAAUUAGAAUGCACAGUAUAAAGUGGUUGUUGAAUGACUGAGUGCAUUGACAGAUAAGUGAACUAUCACGGUCCUGUAAAGUCAUUAAGUUAUUUAGUAACACAUUUGAAGACUCAGAUUAUAUCUGAGGGAAAAUGUCAUUUAAGAAGUACCUUGUCUUGACGUUGUUACCAUUCUUAAAUAUGAUUAUUUCAGUUCCCCAAGUAGGUUAACCCUUUAGGGACUGGAAGACAGAAAUGGCAGUUAAGGAUUCAUACUGAUCCAAAAAGAAUAAAAAAGAUCAUCAGAAAGUCGUUUUGUUCUUGAAAUGCAGAAUUGGAAAUGAACCAUUUUCCAGUAGUGGGAACUGAAAUCCAGUAUAAGAUCCUCCUUUUUGGUACCUUCUUCCUCUUUCUUCCUCCCCAUUUUACCUUAGCUCUUCCCCACCCCUCUCCUGCACCCAAACAGAAAAUUAAAUGAGUUAUUUUGAGCUAACUUCAGUCUUUUAAAAAAGUGCAAGAAAAAUCCAACUGUAAUAGGGUUAUUUCCUAGGAUCAAUGCAAUGACUUUACAAAAAAUUUUAAGCAAUUGAGAUGAUAGGUGAAUUAUCAAAAUAAGGAUUUAGGAUUACAGUACACCGAAAGCCUGAAUGACAGGAAGAGUGCUGGCCCAACUCUAUCCUAGUUGAAGAAUCCCUAAAUUUAUCCCACCUCCCUCUGCAACAAGCGCAGAGUGGGUCCCAGGAGCAUUGAGUUGGACGUGAAGAGAGAUCCUGAGAACAUACGCUUUUGGCGGGAGAAAAGCAAGAAGGGAAGGAGCUGGAAGGAGCAAGGUUUGCUCUCAUAACUGAGCGAGGCAACACGCAAGCACAUGAAGCAGUGGAUGUUUGUUAGAGUUAAAAAGAUAAAAGACUACCUGAAAGCACAUCUCCUGGUUUCCGUAGCCUAAAUCAAUAGGCACCUAAUGGAACAGGAAAUCCAGUGGACUCCACAGGUAUAGGUGCAAAGCAAGUUCCAAAGGGCCGGGAGUGGACUGUGGUGGCCUGAGACCUCCGGGAAUAGGUGGCCUACCCGCUCAUACUUGCCAAUUUUCCCAGCUCCAUGAUCGUUUAUUUUUGGGUUUCUACAGGUGGCAGGGACAAAAUAGCAAGCUUGGACUCACUCCAGAGAAGGUGAGCUAGGACAAAAGCAAGAACCCCAAGAAGUGACCACCGAGAGUGUGGGCAGCACCUUCCCUACAUGACUAAACAGAUUCCCUCUUUUUUGUUUUCCUUUUCCCUCAUCCUGCCUCCAAGACAUCUCACCCAAUAACGCCCGUGGAAACCACAAUCCUACACAAAACUGCAUGUAUCUGGAAGAAACAAAGCAAAGGAAAUAGCAUACCAAGACGCUUCUCUUUGUAACCCUGAGCACUGGAACAGUUCAGUGAGAGAAUCGAGGAAGGGUAUAAGAGUCAAGCAUUGAGAAAUGAAAUAUGUGGAGAACCAGGAUAGAAUCAAUAUUCACAUAUUUCCAUUAGGCUGUAGUUUUCCAGCACGAAGUAAACACCUGUUCAUAUCUUCAGGUCUUACAAACGUGCAACCACAAAAGUUAUAAACUUAACUACCAAUUAUUACUCCAGGGCUUACCUGGUGCUAGACUGCAUAAAUUUAAAAAAACAAUUCAGACCCGUUUCUAAAGGAGCUUAUAUUUCCAGGUAAACAGACAAACAUUGCGCAAGUACAUCCAUGGACUGGUAUUUUAUCACAAAUGAUAGUAACUGAAAUUCAGGUUAUAAAUAAGGCAGUAUGAAACUGGGAAAGGAUAUCAUUUCCCCAGAUGUACAGAGUAAACUUUUAGCUGAGAUUUAAAGGAAGAGAAGGGGUUAUUCAGGCCAAGAGUGUUGGGAAAUGUGUGCUAAGCAGAGAGAACACAGGUCAAACAGGAGUUUUAAAGUAAAUUCAACAAUGGAAUGUUCAAUGACCCGAAAGAAGCCAGCUUGGUAGUAGAUACAGUUGGGAGAAGAACAAGGAGCUAGAUCACGUAGUUCUUCUUAGGUCAAGGGCAGGAAUUUAUAGUUUAUUCUAAGCGCAUUGUGAAAUCACUUAAGAUUUUUAAGACAGGAUGGUGACAUGAUCUGAUUUAUGUUUUAAGGACACCAUCUUACCUAUUGUGUGCAAGAAAGGGGCAAGAGGUCCUUUACAGAUACUAUUGUAGAAGCUCUGGUGAGAGAUAAAGCAGUUUGGGUCAGGGAGGUAGUGGCAUAGGUAGGGGUAGGUAGUAGGUACGGAAAGAUUCGAGACAUGCUUUGAAGUUAGAAUCCACAAGCUUUAACAAUAGUGCAAGCCAGGCAUGGUGGUACAUGCCUAUAAUCCCAGCAUUUGCAGGAUGCUGAGGCAAGACGGUUGCAGCAAGUUUGAGCCCUGCCCAGGCAAUUUAGUGAGAUGCUGUCUCAAAAAACAGGAAAAAAAUCUAGGAAUGUAGCUCACUGUAAAUGUUCCAGGUUCAAUCCUCAGUAUAAGAAAAAAAAAAAAAAAACUAAAAGAAAAAAUACAUACAGUAAUCAUUUGAACAGCUGUAGGGGUAGGAAAGAGGAUUUAAAAAGUGAAUUCCAAGUUUCUAGAUUGGGAAGCUAGAUGAAUAUGCUUUCAUUCACUGAGUUAGAAACAUAGCAGAAGAAAAUCUUUCUUUUGGAGGAGGUAAUUUCUCAAACUCAGUUUGGAGCAUGGUAUAUCUGAGACAGAGACCUCUGAGAGGGGUGUCAAGGUGCCUCUUGGGUGGAUAUUUGAGACCCAAUUUCAAGAGAUGUCAGUUUGGAGACAUAAAUGUGAGAUUCAUCAACACAGAGGCAGUAUUUGAAGAACUGAAAAGCAGUGAAGAUAAAGUUGUCCUUAGAGAUAUUUAAGUUUAAAUUCAUUUCUCAGUUUACAAUGACAGUGGGCCCAAAGAAGUGAAAUUGGUUUUGGAAAUGGUGCUGAUCAGACAGCUGUUUCCAUUUCAUAAUGCAUUCUCAACAUUUACCAUCAAAAUGGUCCAGAAUGAGAAGCCCUUUGAAUGAAGCAUAAUUCUGUCGGUGUAGUUCAUGGUACCACACUAUGGCCUGUUUCAGAGUCUCUUUCUUUUCUUUCUUUCUUUCUUUCUUUCUUUCUUUCUUUCUUUCUUUCUUUCUUUCUUUCUUUCUUUUUCUCUGUCUCUCUCUGUUUCUCUGUCUCUCUCUCUCUCUCUCAUACAUAAACCCACAGUACUAGGGGUGAAACCUAGGACCUUGUUACUGAGUUAUAUAACCAGUCCUUUUUUUUCUUUCCAUUUUGAGACAAAAAUCUUGCUAAAUUACCCAGGCUGGGCUCGAAUUUAUGAUCCUCCUCCCUCAACCUUCCAGAGUGCUGGGAUUACAAGCCUGCACCAUCACACUCAUGUCAGGAAUAGUGAAAAAGUUGUAAUUUUAUUCACUAAAAAUACAGUUAUGAUAUAAAAGACAUUAUUAGUUUGCCUGCCUCCGAUAUGUGUAGCUUCAUGUGUAUACAUUUGCAUACAUUCCAUCCAAUUCAGCAGAUAUAUAAUGUGCACAGAGGUACAAGAGGAAGUCUGUGUCCCACAGCGAACCAAGGCUACUGCAGAUGGGAGGUACAAGCACACACACAAGCAAUGGCUAACGCUGUCGCUGAGCUACAGGCAGCAUAAUUUGGUUGACAUUAGAGCAUGAUUGCUUUAGACUAAGAGUUCUGAGGAAGUGUGAGAUUUGAAUAAAAUAAUUAUGUCAGAUAGUGAACAUACCCCUGAAAUAAUAGACAUCAAAACAAUAGACAUAGCUCUAAAACAACAAACACAAUUUAUCACUUCUUACUCUACUGUUCUAAGUACUUUAUAACUGUUAAUCUAGUUAGUUAUUACAACAAUCUCAUAACUUAGGUGUUAUGAAAUCUGAUAUUCAGGUACAGAUCCCUGUUUUACAGAUUCUAGAGCCCAAAAGGACUAACCAAAUCAACAGCCAAGAGCUGGAUUUGAAUCCUAGCCAUCUAAGCACUGUUCUUAGUACGCCCUACCACCUUAGGAGUGAAGGCCACGACUUUCACAAACAGGGCAGAGGCAGCAAGGGGAGGAAAGGUGUUUCACGAAAAGAGAGGAGCUGAGCAAAUGGCACAGAGAUUGGGCAUAUACUUACUCAUGCUUUGGCGUUUUAUUGAGACCAGUGAAUUAUUUAGCUGUGGAAAGUGGAUCAAAAACUGGGCAUUUAUCUUUGUUUGACUUUGUUUAACUUCCCACAAGGGUCUUUUCUUGCAUCAUAGUACUAACAGUGAAAUGCAGUUUUGCUCGCUCGUCUGAGCAAAGCCCAGUGCUACGCUCUUCACCGGCAUUAUAACUUCAUCCCCACAAUGGCCUUGGUAGGGAGGUGUUGCAUUUCAAAAGGAGAAACAGUUCAAGUCCUGCCUCCACUUGACCUCUAUUUUGGAGAGUACUAGUGAUUCCCCAGGAGGCAUGUCAGUAUUCGGCUUCAUGUUGCAUCCACUUCUUGGAGCCUAGGAGCCCCCAGGGAUGGAGUAUACCUAUGCAUUAACAUGCGUAGCUUCUUUGACAGUGGAAAAUACCAAUCGAUAUCUUUGCCAAAAUCUUCCACUCACUGUUGCAGUUGGCCAACCUUUGCUGUGUUGUGAAAGUCAACAGUUAAGUAUGAAAACGGGCCUCUCUUUCCAAAAAUUUAAUUGCAUUGUUAGGAAUUAGUUGAAACUGGGCUUUGUUCUAUGUGGGGAAAGCUAGGAAUAAGCUUGCCCGUAAUGCCUAAACCUGGCUUGCAGUUCAGAGCAAUUGCUAAAACAUUUGAUGCAAUCCUGAACAGCACUGGCAGCAAUGUGGUGUCCAGCUCAGUGAUUACCCAUUGUACCCAUAGUACUCAGGGCACAGUUCUAGGCCCUGCAAGGAGACUACAAAUCAGUGUCUACAGAAAGGGACUGCUCUAGCAUGGAUCCAGUGGCAAGUAUCAUCAAAUGUAAAGAAUGACAGUCAAGUGAGAGCGAGGUAAAAAUUCACAGCCCUAGGGGCAGCCAGGGCUGAAUUCCUAAGCAUCAGCUUUGUUUGUGCAAGUUAAAUCUGAGAAGAAAGAAGACUCUGAUCAGUCCUGUUGUCUUCCAGAUUGGAGGGAGAGUCAAGACCUCAUCCCAGAACAACAUUUAGGAAAGCAACAAAGAACAAAAGAUAAGAUAACUGAAGCUUUUAAUGCAAGAAGAAGGAGGAUGGAUGGAGGGACAAUUGGGAUGUUUACUCUCAUUUUCAAGGCCAAGAAUGUAAUGAAGACCCUCUUGAACUCUGUUUGGAAGAAGAUUCUCAAAAGAGUCUUCCUGGAAUGCCAGUUACUAAACCAUAGCUGUGUGCCUCUUGCCUUGGUUUGCUCAUCUGUAAGAGACAAUAUCAACUGCUACAUUGCAGAUAUUCUUCUGAGGAUUAAGGAUGAGGAGCUCAGUGGAUGGCUUUCAAGCAUCAGUGUGUAGAUUACAUUGUUUUAUACGCUGCCCGCUAGCCUCAUCUUUAGGUAAACUGACUCAUUUCAUGGAAACUUCAAGAUCAUCAGGCCAACACCUGAAAGUGACAGACGAGCAGGGAAGAGGCAGUGCAUCCUAUUUGUUACCUCAAUUGAUCUUCACAACAGGCUCCUGAGAACUGUAAGCCAGCGUGGUUAUUCUUCAGUCACAGAUGACCGAGCUGUGAGGUUAAGUGAUUGGUGCAAGGUUCCAUCCGGAUUCAGACAAGGGACUCCCACUUCUGCCCAUAUGCUUUUCAGUGUAUCAACAGCCAUGAGAUUUUCGUCACAUGUUAAGUGAGAGUCAGUGGUAUUGUGGAAGAAAAUAAAAUCUGGCAAAUAAACACCGAUGAAGAACAAGUCAGCCAGCCCAGUCCCACUCACCUCCACUGGACACCACUGGGCCUCUGUCUGUGUCCCUCUCUCCCUAGCCCCCUGUUGCAGCUCCUCUAUUUGCUCAGAGCUCCUCUGGGCCAAGGGGUUAGCUCAAAUCCAGGUUCCUCCAUAAGGCGUUUGACCAAACACUCCACCCAUUUUUUCAACCAAACAUUUGCUAACUGCCUGCUAGUGUGCUCCAUUUGCUCUUGUGGGGUUUUCUUCUAGGAAGAAGAAAUCAUAAAAAGAAACUCAACAGUAAAGAUAUAUGCUCUUCUUGAGGAUAAUAAAUGCUGAAGUAGAAAAAAAUCACAAAGAAAAGGGAUGUGACACUUCUGAGGGAAAAGAUACAACUUGAGAUUGGAUGCUGGGAAUGGCCUCAUUGAGCCGGUGACAUUUGAUUAAAGACUGAAUAAAGGUGGAGGAGGAAAUGAUCUGAACAUCUGGGGGUGAGAAUCUCAGGAAGAGGGAAUUGCAAGUAUCCAGGUCUUGAGCCAGAAUGUGCAUGAACUGCUUAAGGAAAGGAAAGGAGGUUGUUUAGAGCCCAGGGAAGGGCAGGGUAGUGGAUGACCAGGACAUAGAGGACUUCAUUAUGUACCUUUCAUAGUGUACUCGAAGGCCUUUCUAUUGUUGUGUAUGAGUUGGAAAGUGAUUAGAUUUGGACAGGACCUGAAUUUUAUUUGCACAGAUGUCUUGCCCUUCUUAACCGAGUAACAUAACUUUGAAUCCAGAACGUGGACUCUGGAACCAAAUUGCUUGUGUUUGAAUCUUGACUUUGCCACUUAUUAGCUAGUAACUUUGGCCCGAGAAACUUGCCUAAACCCCAGUUUCCUCAUCCGUAAAUGAGAACAAUGAUAUAUUUACCCUCAAGCAGUUAAGAUUAAGUAAUACUAUUGCACAUGUAAAAUACUCUGCAUGGUGUCUGACAUGUAGAGUAUAUAUUCAGUAAAUAUUAAAGGUAAUAAUAGGUGAAUGAAUUUUUUAAAAAUUUGGAAGCUAUUUUGGAACAUACUGUCCAGUGGUUCAGAAAUCUGACUGGUGAUACCUAGAUGAAGAGGCAAGUACCACCACUCUGACCUGACAUAUCUUAGGAGAUUCAGGAAUGCUUUUUGUACUAAUGGAAGCUUGAUCAGGAAACUAAAAUCACAAGUGGUACGGAAUUAGGGACUCAUUGUAUGAGUUAGAUCUUACACAACUGAUAUAAGGUAAAAGGCAUGUGGGGAAGUGCUAAAAAAUCCAUGGAAAUAGCAAUAAAGAGGUAUUAAUAAACUUGUGUAUAUAUUAAAUGCUGGAAAGAACCUCACAGAAAUGUUCAUAAUUAACAUCUCUGGCUGAUUAUAACAGAUUUUAUUCUGACCUUCAUUUAUUUCACUUUCUAAUUUUGUAUAUCAAACAGGUAUUUAAAUCAGAAAUGUAAGUAUAUGUGUUAACAUUUAUUGUUCAUGUAUUAUUUAUUGUACCUAACACUUGUUUCUUCUAAAAAAAUAAACACAAUGUAUUGGAAGCAAUAUAGUUAAUUACGGGGAAGGCACAAGGAAGAUGAAAUCAGAGAAUAUCAAGUCUUGAAGUAUCAAAGACUAUGCAGCCAGGUGCUCAUUUGAAAACGAUGCCUAUUAAGUCAGAGAUCACACAGAGCCUGGAGAGAAUCCAGAAUUUCUGAGCUGUGCAUCCCUUACCAUACCUUGAACUCUCUGAGGUUGCAGUCAAGGUUGAUUUUAGGAUACAGAUAAUAAUCAAGAAAGGAGAGGGGAGAAAUGGCCCUGAAUCUUAGCCUUAUUUGGUUGGAAGUGGAAAAUUUCUCUCAAAGGCAUGUACACUAAAUCAAUCUACUGUCUUCAAAACCCUGGGGUGCCUAUAGCAGUAUUCUGAUCACUAAUCAUCACUUUUCUCCUCAGCAUUCCAGCAAAAACUCAAGAGGUGAUCCAAGUGUAGACUGUAGCACUUAGACAGUGGCCUUGGUGCAUGCUGUAGCUCUUUUUUCUCCUACUGGUAGCAGAGAUGAGCUUGCUUGCAGUUACUUCUGGAUCUCAACAGAGAGCUCAUAAAACUCAGAAAACCCUCCUACCAGUCAAGCUGACACGUAAUUGGCCACUCAGCUAAAAUAAGUAACGAGCCAAGAAAGAUGUUUUAAAGUGUGAUUUUGAUGCACAGGAUUUUAUUACUGGCAUUAGUCCAGUAAUUGUGAGCCAGUGAAUUUUCAAAGCCGUCUUAAAAUAAUAAUCCUUUCCCUCAAUACUCAGAUACAGUAGAGAAAGAAGGGUAAGGUUUUUUAGUACCUUCAGGGACAUCUACAAUCUGAGGAUUUACUUUUAAUAGAUUAUUGCAUGGGAAGUAUAAACAAGGUUUGGGUAAAAACACAGGAAGUCAAAAAAUAAAGACUAUAUUUUGAUGCUUUUAUCCAUCAGCUUUAUGGCUUUAGGCGAAACAUUUCAUUUUUUACCUUUGGUUUCUCCCACAAGAAGAUUGGGAUAAUAUUCAUACUUGUACUUUGAAACCCUACUGUAUUAUUUGGAGGCCAGCAGGGUGACUAUGGAAACAUUUGAAUAUUAUUAGUUUAAUUAACUAUGUGUAUAGAACUAGUUCUCCAUGAAAUUAGUCUUCUCUACACAAUGAAAUUGGUUGCCAGGUAUACAAUGUUUAUAUUUCUGAACGAUUUGAAAAAGAAAGUAGGAGGAGGAAAAAUAAAUUAUUCUUUUCCUGGAAAGCUCUGUUAUUUAAUCCUCUUCUUGGAGUGAAAAAAAAAUUCUUAGCCACACUGUAGGGAAGAGAACACAGAUUUCUCUUUGAUGUCACCACUCAACGAGUGGUCAGUAUCACUUCCUCUUUUUCACCAACAGAUCCAAAGAUCUUAUGUUAGGGUUUCUUUAGUGAUGACCUCAAACAUUUAAGUCCCCUGCUUGAACAUGUGCCAUAGCCAAAACAACCAAAAGAAAAAGCAGAAGAGCAGGAAAGGGGGUGGAAAGAGAGAGAUAAUAUUGUAUUCUUUGGAAAGAUGACAGUUAAUGAGGCUCACUGUAGUUUAGAGCCAAAUAAUUUUCUUCAAAGAGAGAAAAAGGUCGUGACAACCCCCAGACAGAAGCAAGAAGAAGCAGAACCAUGAGUACUGGGCUCCAACUGGUGAUGUCACCACACAUUUGUGGUUCCCCAGAAUGGAGCUAGAGCAAGCUGGGCUUUCACACCCUGCCCUGCAUUAACAAGCAGAGACCUGGCCUUUCAGGCACAAUCCUUCUAGGGAUGGGCCUCUCUUCCCCAUCGUGGGUUCAGCCUGAAGCCAGGGUGAGUCCUGUAAAGAUGCUGAACCCUUCUUGAUCCGCACACAUUCGGCUGUCAUGCCUGCCAGUGUUGCUCCUAAUCCAGCCAACAAAUCAACACCUACCCAGGGGAAGGUGUGGGAAUCCAAGCAGGCAGAUGGCCUUUUAAAGAGCCAGAGAAGCAAGAGCUGGGGCAGGAAACCUCUUCAGCAGCUCUUUCACUGUGCCAUUCUUUACCUCCUGAGUCAUUCUCCACACCCUACAAGUUCAAACCGAGACUCAACAGCCUUACCAGAGAUGGAGAGAUGCUACAGUUGCUGCCUUUUGUACAGCAAUGGCAAUUUGCCAUGGCACCGUCCCUGUUGCAUUUCAGACAAUCUCAGGCACCUUCUUUCUAGUUGUUGAUUCUCAGCUGGAUCAAGGGAAGGCCAGUCUUGUACCAAACAAAGGCAGAGGUCAUUACCAGUGUUGAGCCUUGAGCAGUACAGGUGUAAUUAUACACAUUGGUUGAUUGAUGCAGGCUCUGUUGGGAAAUAUUGUAUUUUAAGGAAGUGUAACCUUUUAACUUUUGAGCUGGCCACGGAAGCAUGCCAAGAAAAGAACUGGAUUAAACUAUAGAACAAUCCAAUGAGCCAAGGGCACUGAGCUGGGCAUGAACCAAGCAGGAUACAGAGAACAGAAGAUUCAGGGAGAAGUGAGCAGGCAGGUAAUUGUCAGAUACCACAACAAAUGCCAAUAACAUGAUUCUUCCCUCUCCUAUUUGCCAAAUCCAAGUUUGGGCAUGUUAGUUGCCUCUAACUCUUCCCCCCUCCACAACACUGCCAUCUAUGUUUAAUAGAGUUGCAUUACCCAGAUUUCUGUGGCUCGGAAUCUUGAAAUCUUGGGGUCUUUAGUCUGAAAAGACUCAGCUAGCCCAUGUGCAGUGUUAGUUUCUCUCCAGUAGGCUCCAACACUUCAUUUUUAAAAAUCUAAAUAUAAAACCCAUUAUCUAUAUCCUUGGAAUUGACCAGACAAGACAGAGCCAUAAAACUGUUGAGUUUAGAGGAAACGAAGUGGUUACUUCAUAUUUGGAUCUCCAGAACUCCUCUUCUGAAGUGUUCAUUCAGCCUUUUCUUUGAUAUCUCCACAACAGAGGACUUUUGACCUCCCAAAGUGGCCUAGCUGAUGGUUGGUCAUAUUUAAAAGCAGGACAGUUUAAGUCUGGGCUUACAUACUGGCUUAAUUAUAGGAAAGGAUUCAUCACAGUGAGAAAUCACUUACCAAUGAUAUCUGGGGCUAUGCGAGGUUGUUGACUUGAGUGGAUGCAAAUAGAGGUCAUGACUAAAUGCUACACCCCAACUCCCAACCUGUAUGUAAGUCUCUGCUCAACAGCAAAUAAACAAAGCAGUCUGCUACAUACAGUGCUCCUCUAUUGCCAGGACUAGAGAAAUAUUUACAAAAGAAAUGUUAGGUAUGGCUGAUGAAGCCUUAUGUGAGAAACAAAAUUUGAUCAUAGGGAAAGAAGCUCUAUUUGAAAUAAUUUGAUACUAGCUUUUAAGGAUUCAUGUGAAAAUCAGGCCAAAUUCAUACAUUUUGGGACAGGAGAUGGACAAUUAAUAUCUCCCAGCAUCUGUCUGUAUUUUUAUUGGUUUUCUUCUGCCCUCUUAUCUUGAAUCUAUGUUCAAGUCAGAAUUUAUUUCCAUACACUAGAAAUUUCCCAAAAGAAGUUGUAAUAGAUUUUCCUUAUCUUAAUACUAGAAAACUGAAACUCAGAAAGGGUUGGUAGUUGAUUCAAAGUCGCAGAACCCAUUUGAGUUGAAGCCAGAACAGAAGCAUGUACCAGCUCCAACUCUACUAUAAUACGCUGAGCAGGUGUAAGGUAUGAAAGUCUUGCUAACGUCCUAUAGAUCAGGAGCUAUAGAAAGUUUUACGGCAUAGAAAACUGAGCCACUUUUUCUUGAGUCCCCAUUUGGUAACCUUAUGAAAUACGGGUUGCUAGUGUAUCUCUUAAAAUAUCAAUAAACAACAAAUAAAUAGAAAACACUGCACAUCUGCAUGUAAGUAUAUAAAAAUUGUCCCCAUUAGAAGAACUUCUAGUUAUUGAGCAUGCACUAUGUCCCAAGCAUUUUCCACCACGACGACCGCUCAUCUUUCUAAUGAUCUGUAUGUGAGCUCCAUGCAUUGAUUGCUUUCCAGGUGAAGGUCAGAAGACACAUGACCAGUGUGACAGAGCUAACACUGCAGCCUGGUUUUCCUGGCCCCAGAACCCACCCAGAACUGAGGACUUUUGACCUCUGUUUUCAGCGUGGCUGCCCAUCUUUCCUAGAUUCUCUCAGACCUGCUUUGUGCCCCACUCACCAACAAACCCAUACAUUGAAUAUGAUUGCUACUGUGCUGUGUGUAGAGUAAACUUGUGAUUGGUUCUUUUUCAAAUUACCCAACUUGCACAUCUUGUCAGCCAAUUUUGGUAGUAUCCUUCGUGUUUAUUGUUGUGUUCUUCAUAUUUUAUGCAUCUUAUGGAAAAUAAGACAAACUAAGAUACUAACCCAAGUUUACCUGGUGGUGAGAAGCAAUGUUUGAUGCAUGAACAUAAAUAAAUAAAUAGAAAUAGUAAUGUUCUGAAA